GCUAUCGAGGUUCGACUAAGCCAUGCGAGUCGAAUGUAGCAAUACAUGGCGUACUGCUCAGUAACACGUGGAUAACCUACCCUUAGAACGGGGAUAAACCCGGGAAACUGGGUAUAAUACCCGAUAGAUCUCGACUGCUGGAAUGCAUCGAGCUCCAAAGCUCCGGCGUCUAAGGAUGGAUCUGCGGCCUAUCAGGUAGUAGUGGGUGUAGCGUACCUACUAGCCUACGACGGGUACGGGUUGUGAGAGCAAGAGCCCGGAGAUGGAUUCUGAGACACGAAUCCAGGCCCUACGGGGUGCAGCAGGCGCGAAAACUUUACAAUGCUGGAAACAGCGAUAAGGGGACCUCGAGUGCCAGGUUACAAAUCUGGCUGUCGUGAUGCCUAAAAAGCAUUGCAUAGCAAGGGCCGGGCAAGACCGGUGCCAGCCGCCGCGGUAACACCGGCGGCUCGAGUGGUAACCGUUAUUAUUGGGUCUAAAGGGUCUGUAGCCGGCCGGAUAAGUCUCUUGGGAAAUCUGGCAGCUUAACUGUCAGGCUUCCAGGAGAUACUGUCUGGCUCGAGGCCGGGAGAGGUGAGAGGUACUUCAGGGGUAGGGGUGAAAUCUUGUAAUCCUUGAAGGACCACCAGUGGCGAAGGCGUCUCACCAGAACGGACCUGACGGCAAGGGACGAAAGCUAGGGGCACGAACCGGAUUAGAUACCCGGGUAGUCCUAGCCGUAAACGAUACUCGCUAGGUGUCGGCCACGGUGCGACCGUUGUCGGUGCCGUAGGGAAGCCGUGAAGCGAGCCACCUGGGAAGUACGGCCGCAAGGCUGAAACUUAAAGGAAUUGGCGGGGG
rnacentral:rRNA from 1 species